CACUAUGGCUGAACACUGCCCUUCCACUGUAGCUGACCAACGCCCUAAGAUGGCGCCCGCUUCCUGGGCGCCACCCUUCCUGGUUUGGUGGCAUUAGCAUAAGGAAGUUGCUCCUAUAGGCUUGCCCCAUGCUUCCACGCUCGUGCUCAACUCAUGCAGAAGGCAUGCUACCAAUCAGCUUAAAGGUCACGCAUGAUCUUGAUCACCAUAGGCCAGCUUCCUUUAUAUAAGGCAUAAGCAGGAAAGAGAAGGAGUCUCUCUCCUCUCAUUCUUCCUCUCACUCGCUCUCUCCGGCUGUUGCUUCUUCUCACUCACCUUCUCCCGACCUUCCGAGCAACAAUAAAGAACUGAAGUGAACCAGGUCUUUGUACAUAUCGCUGUCGUCACCGCCACAAGGAGCGAACGCGAUAUCUGGUGCCGAAACCCGGGAAUUUUUCUCCAACCACCCAGAGGAGAAACUGGCGGACGCGGAUGCCAUAGAGCUUCUUACCCUGAAGCAGUACCAGUGGACUCCAUUCAGAAGGAUCGUUCGGGAGGGCACCUCGAAAGAGGAGGGUGAGUGGAUCAACAAGCAAAAUGAAAGACCGAAACAAUCCCAUCUGGGUGCCUGAACGCCUGACACGGAGAGUGGCAAGACCAGAACCGGAAGUGCGAGAUGCCGACCCCACUGAUGCUGAUCCUGCUACUGAUCCUUCAGCAGGCGAUAGCAGAACCCAGAGAACUAUGGGGUCUGGUGAAGGCUUGGCCUCUACCACUCCCGGUGACUGAAACUGCACAUACCUUUCCCGCCUUUUUCUCUCCCAUAUCUGCCCUUUGACAGCUCUAUGUGUUACUGGCAUUCCUUUUCAUAGCCUCUCUAAAGCUGCCAAUCUGUCCAGGGAAUUAGACAAGAUGUUAUCCACCAAUUGGUCCAGUGAGUUUGACAUGCUCACCACUCAGCUAUGGCUAGAAAUAUUGAAUGUUAGUUCCCAAAAGGUAGAGGCGCUGUCUGUAGCUCAGUUUGCUGAAGCUGUGCUAAAUGCCACCAAAGCCUGGUCAGGCAUGGGUGUUAUGGGUAUAUUACUCCUUGUAGGUCUUCUCCUACUUGGGAGAAAAGUCUGUUCCAUGCAAUGGCAACAUCGGGAAGUGCGGAUGGCUCUGGUGCAGGCCAUGGCAGCUAUAGAGGAAGACAUCUCCCCUAGGGUGUGGCUCAAUAUGUUGGACCAGUAGUCAAAGAUGGGUAAGAUCAGGAGGUAUGCAUACCAACCUAAGACAGGGCGCAGACCUUAGCUGUCUGUUGCCCUAUGACGGGUAAGGAUGCUGCGCCUCCCUGACAACCUAAGACAGGCAUGGUCCCUGAGCCUCAUUGUGUUAAAAAACAAAAAAGGGGGAGAUGUAGGGGCCGGCCUACGGCCAAGGCUGAGUCCCACUAUUGGCUGAACACCGCCCUUCCACUGUAGCUGACCAACGCCCUAAGAUGGUGCCCGCUUCCUGGGCGCCACCCUUCCUGGUUUGGUGGCAUUAGCAUAAGGAAGUUGCUCCUAUAGGCUUGCCCCAUGCUUCCACGCUCGUGCUCAACUCAUGCAGAAGGCAUGCUACCAAUCAGCUUAAAGGUCACGCAUGAUCUUGAUCACCAUAGGCCAGCUUCCUUUAUAUAAGGCAUAAGCAGGAAAGAGAAGGAGUCUCUCUCCUCUCAUUCUUCCUCUCACUCGCUCUCUCCGGCUGUUGCUUCUUCUCACUCACCUUCUCCCGACCUUCCGAGCAACAAUAAAGAACUGAAGUGAA